rnacentral:misc_RNA from 1 species
GAUGAAGAACGUAGCGAAAUGCGAUAAGUAAUGUGAAUUGCAGAAUUCAGUGAAUCAUCGAAUCUUUGAACGCACCUUGCGCCCUUUGGCCAUUCCGAAGGGCAUGCCUGUUUGAGUAUCAUGAACACCUCAACUCUUCAUGGUUUUCCAUGAUGAGCUUGGACUUUGGGGGUCUUGCUGGCCUGUGGGUCGGCUCCUCUCAAAUGAAUCAGCUUGCCGGUUUUUGGUGGGCAUCACAGGUGUGAUAACUAUCUACGCUUGUGGUUUUCCACCAGGGUAACCUUCAGCAGUGGAGGUUCACUGGAGCUUACAAAUGUCUCUCCUCUGUGAGGACAGCCCUUUGAAUGUUUGAUCUCAAAUCAGGGAGAACUACCCGCUGAACUUAAGCAUAUCAAUAAGCGGAGGA